rfam:Ictidomys tridecemlineatus contig045599, whole genome shotgun sequence.
CCCCUUCAAUUGUUUCAUAAGCAUGAUUGGAUUUUCACACCAUGUGUAAGAUGUGCCCCCCUCAAAUCUUUUUAUAAUGUCAGCAUAUUUCCUAUCUGAAG